AUGAAGAAAAAUGCGGAUUUUGUCCUCGCUCGAAAGCUGUCUGGACCGCUGCCUGACUGGAUAGUUAAACCCGACUUUGUAGGUCUGUCGUAUAACAACUUCACUUUAGCAAACUUUGAGCAGGAAACUUGUCAACAAGGAAGUGCAAACUUGUUUGCAUCUUCUUUGACGGGAAACAGCUUGUUCAAAAAUAAUAUUUACAAGUCUAAGAUCGUGGGAUGCUAUUGGAGAUGA